UACGAAGGGGGGCUAGCGUUGCUCGGAAUCACUGGGCGUAAAGCGCACGUAGGCGGAUCUUUAAGUCAGGGGGUGAAAUCCCAAGGCUCAACCUUGGAACUGCCUUUUGAUACUGGGGGAUCUCGAGUCCGGAAGAGGUUGGUGGAACUGCGAGUGUAGAGGUGAAAUUCGUAGAUAUUCGCAAGAACACCAGUGGCGAAGGCGGCUCGCUGGCCCGAUACUGACGCUGAGGCACGAAAGCGUGGG
rnacentral:rRNA from 1 species